AUUAAACGCUGGCGGCAUGCCUUACACAUGCAAGUCGAACGGCAGCACGGGGGCAACCCUGGUGGCGAGUGGCGGACGGGUGAGUAAAGCAUCGGAACGUAUCCUGGAGUGGGGGAUAACGUAGCGAAAGUUACGCUAAUACCGCAUAUUCUGUGAGCAGGAAAGCAGGGGAUCGCAAGACCUUGCGCUCUGGGAGCGGCCGAUGUCGGAUUAGCUAGUUGGUGGGUAAAGGCCUACCAAGGCGACGAUCCGUAGCGGGUCUGAGAGGAUGAUCCGCCACACUGGGACUGAGACACGGCCCAGACUCCUACGGGAGGCAGCAGUGGGGAAUAUUGGACAAUGGGCGAAAGCCUGAUCCAGCCAUGCCGCGUGAGUGAUGAAGGCCCUAGGGUUGUAAAGCUCUUUCAACGGUGAAGAUAAUGACGGUAACCGUAGAAGAAGCCCCGGCUAACUUCGUGCCAGCAGCCGCGGUAAU
rnacentral:rRNA from 1 species